rnacentral:rRNA from 1 species
CCUACGGGUGGCAGCAGUGGGGAAUAUUGGUCAAUGGGCGCAAGCCUGAACCAGCAACGCCGCGUGAAGGAAGAAGGUUUUCGGGUUGUAAACUUCUUUUAAGAGGGAAGAGCAGAAGGGGAUACCUCUUGAAUAAACCACGGCUAACUACGUGCCAGCAGCCGCGGUCAUACGUAGGGGGCAAGCGUUGUUCGGAUUGACUGGGUGUAAAGGGCGUGUAGCGGGGCUGACAAGUCAGAUGUGAAAUCCCGUGGCUCAACCACGGAACUGCAUUUGAAACUGUCUGUCUGGAGUAUCGGAGAGGCAGGCGGAAUGCGUGGUGUAGCGGUGAAAUGCGUAGAUAUUAGGAGGAACACCAGUGGCGAAGGCGGCCUGCUGGACGACAACUGACGGUGAGGCGCGAAAGCGUGGGGAGCAAACAGGAUUAGAUACCCCUGUAGUC